AAAAAAUGGACCAAUUACCCCAAUUCUAAUCAACAUAAUUGGAAGAUAAGGAAACUGAGGUUGGUAAUAGCAGAUUCACAUGAACUGUUUUAUAGUCACCUGUCAAAAUCUCCACACUUCAUUAUUUAACUCAUAUAAUUUAGAUGCAGUCCCAAAUAACAGUGAAUGCCAAAUACUUACCCAUGGUAAGACAUUUUUUUCUACCAGUGUUUUGUUUCCAUCACCAAAGGAAAUUUAGGAAGGGAAGAUAAAGGACAUAAAUGUAGCGACUUCAAAGAUAUGUGAGUAUUUUAUUAAGAAUUUGGUGUUUUUAAAUACAGAACUGUGGCCAGUAGUUGCCAUUAUAGGCAUAAGGAGAAGUUGCCUUUGAUUGUUUAAAGCAUCAACCUGUUGAAAGAGAGAGAAGUUAAAGAAUGAGGCUAACCUGGAUUCUUUUCUGAGUCUCUUCUAGUUUUGCUUCCACACUAUUUCCUCUAAUAUCUUUUAAAGAAAAGCUAACAUGUAUCUUGUCACAAAUUACCUUAAACAGACUCUAAUUGUUGCAGUUUAUUUUGAGAGUAGGCAACCACCCUCUACCUGAUCCAUUCUACCUGUUCCAUCUCUGCCCCAGCUGAACUUUUGGAUAAAGGUAAAAUAUAAAAUCCUGUGGUCCUGAGAUAGUCCACUGAUCUUAGUAAGACUUGUACAGAAAUAAGUGCCUAACCUUGGCAAUUAGUACAGCUUAAAACCAUGCAGGUCCUACAUUUACCUCUCCUUUUUGACAUCAGAAAUUUUUAAGAUCAAGUAUCAAAUGUCAGGAAGAGGCAUCUUCAGUUCCAGAACUAUCUUCUGCCUUGCUGAAAGCAUCAUCACUAAAAUACAAAACUGACCCACUUUUUGAAGGUUUUUACUAAUCUUAAUUGGAGCAUCUUGACCCCCCAAGUGCCAAAGGAAACAUUUUAGCUUAUUAGGAGAAGACUAACAAUAUUACUUAGAGAAGUGCAAGAUGUCAUGAAGGAUUCUUGCAAAAUGUCAUGUCUUUGAGCUUUCAGCUUCAGAGACAAAAGAAACCAAUGCCCUGGAUGUUUUGUUUUUACUUAUAAAGUGCCACCAGAAAAGACCAUUAUUUUCCUCAUUGAAUUGAAACUCUGGUGAUGUUUUAGGACAAGUGUUAACCUUUAGCAGAGAGAGCAUUUAUUUUGGAUAUAGACUGAAUCAUGCUCCUGUUGAUUGCUUCUGGCAUGUUGCAUAACAAACAGAACAAACAUAACAAAAGGUGGGGUGGCACACACCUGUAAGCCCAGGGACUCAAGAG
rnacentral:lncRNA from 1 species